GAUGAACGCUGGCGGCGUGCCUAAUACAUGCAAGUCGAGCGAAUGGAUUAAGAGCUUGCUCUUAUGAAGUUAGCGGCGGACGGGUGAGUAACACGUGGGUAACCUGCCCAUAAGACUGGGAUAACUCCGGGAAACCGGGGCUAAUACCGGAUAACAUUUUGAACCGCAUGGUUCGAAAUUGAAAGGCGGCUUCGGCUGUCACUUAUGGCUGGACCCGCGUGGGAUUAGCUAGUUGGUGAGGUAACGGCUAACCAAGGCAACGAUGCGUAGCCGACCUGAGAGGGUGAUCGGCCACACUGGGACUGAGACACGGCCCAGACUCCUACGGGAGGCAGCAGUAGGGAAUCUUCCGCAAUGGACGAAAGUCUGACGGAGCAACGCCGCGUGAGUGAUGAAGGCUUUCGGGUCGUAAAACUCUGUUGUUAGGGAAGAACAAGUGCUAGUUGAAUAAGCUGGCACCUUGACGGUACCUAACCAGAAAGCCACGGCUAACUACGUGCCAGCCGCCGCAGUAA
rnacentral:rRNA from 1 species